rnacentral:rRNA from 1 species
UACGAAGGGUGCAAGCGUUACUCGGAAUUACUGGGCGUAAAGCGUGCGUAGGUGGUGAGUUAAGUCUGUCGUGAAAGCCCCGGGCUCAACCUGGGAAUGGCGAUGGAUACUGGCUCGCUAGAGUGCGGUAGAGGGUGGUGGAAUUCCCGGUGUAGCAGUGAAAUGCGUAGAGAUCGGGAGGAACAUCAGUUGCGAAGGCGGCCACCUGGACCAGCACUGACACUGAGGCACGGAAAGCGAUGG